ACGAACGCUGGCGGCAUGCCUAACCCAUGCAAGUCGAACGAGACCUUCGGGUCUAGUGGCGCACGGGUGCGUAACGCGUGGGAACCUGCCCUUAGGUUCGGAAUAACUCCCCGAAAGGGGUGCUAAUACCGGAUAAUGUCUUCGGACCAAAGAUUUAUCGCCUUUGGAUGGGCCCGCGUUGGAUUAGCUAGUUGGUAGGGUAAAAGCCUACCAAGGCGACGAUCCAUAGCUGGUCUGAGAGGAUGAUCAGCCACACUGGGACUGAGACACGGCCCAGACUCCUACGGGAGGCAGCAGUGGGAAAUAUUGGACAAUGGGCGAAAGCCUGAUCCAGCAAUGCCGCGUGAGUGAUGAAGGCCUUAGGGUUGUAAAGCUCUUUUACCCGGGAUGAUAAUGACAGUACCGGGAGAAUAAGCUCCGGCUAACUCCG
rnacentral:rRNA from 1 species